GUGCUCGCUUCAGCAGCACAUAUACUAAAAUUGGAAAGAUACAGAGAAGAUUAGCAUGGCACCUGCGCAAGGAUGACACACAAAUUCAUGAAGCGUUCCAUAAAAAA
rnacentral:snRNA from 1 species